rnacentral:RNase_P_RNA from 2 species
CGAGCCGGCCGGGCGGCCGCGUCGGGGUCCGAAGGACCUCGCCGAGGAACGUCCGGGCUCCGCAGGGCAGGGUGGUAGGUAACGCCUACCUGGGGUGACCCACGGGAAAGUGCCACAGAAAGCAGACCGCCGGUCGUUCGCGGCCGGUAAGGGUGAAACGGUGGUGUAAGAGACCACCAGCGCCCAGGGUGACCUGGGCGGCUCGGUAAACCCCACCCGGAGCAAGGUCAAGAGGGAGCGCCCCGGCGCUCCUGCGCGGAUGAUCGAGGGCUGCCCGCCCGAGUCCGCGGGUGGACCGCACGAGGCCGGUGGCGACACCGGUCCUAGAUGGAUGGCCGCCUCCCCCGGCGCCGCGAGGCGCCGGGGAGACAGAACCCGGCGUAGAGGCCGACUCGUCCG